CGAAAAAAAAUAAAAGCUUCUCCUGAUUGUCGUAUUCUCCUUCUUCAACAAUGGCGACUUUUGAUUUCUAGGGCUCAUCUCAUCAUGUUCUUCUUGCUGUAAUUAGGUCAACCGACUAUGGAGUUUCUGGAGGUGUAUUUGAGACGAAUCUUGAUGGGUUACCCAGAAGAAUGGUCUCUUCUGGAGAGAUUCUUUGCCAGGAGAUAAUUCUUCUGAAGAGUAAGCCAGCACGCUUCUCUUCCAAUUAUUGGAAUAGCUGUGGUUGAUAUUUUAGAUCUCAAGCAUACUGUUAGUUCAAUUUUUCAUCUAAGCAUCAGUUAUUUACCAUCGCACGCAAUUUUUUAUCGCAACCAGCAUCCACCACAUCCUAAUUUUGGUAUUUAGAAAGGUCAUGACAACGCAUGCAAUGAUAUCUCAACUCUUGGAGCUCAUAAUGCCAACCUGUGGUGUCAACUACCCUGCAGGCUCUUCUAUUUCAUUCAAUUCUCAAAUUAAUAAGUUUUCCAACAACGCUUUGUUUAUGUAUUUUUAAUCAUUUAGUUUUAAACUUUUAAAACAAUCAUUCAGACUCUUGCAAGAAAACUAUGUUCUCUACUUCA